GGGGUUUGCUGGGGGACACCUUCCUGCACCUCAUCCCCCACGCCCUGGCCCCCCACGAGCACCACGAGGGUCACGGCCACUCCCACCACGGGCACGGGCAGGCUCUGGCCGUGGGGCUCUGGGUCCUGGCAGGAAUCGUCGCCUUCCUGGGGGUGGAGCUGGGCGUCCGGCACUGCGGCCACGGCCACGG